rnacentral:rRNA from 1 species
UACGGAGGGUGCAAGCGUUAUCCGGAUUUACUGGGUUUAAAGGGUGUGUAGGCGGGUCUUUAAGUCAGUGGUGAAAUCUCCGAGCUCAACUUGGAAACUGCCAUUGAUACUAUUGAUCUUGAAUUCUGUUGAGGUGGGCGGAAUAAGUCAUGUAGCGGUGAAAUGCAUAGAUAUGACUUGGAACACCAAUUGCGAAGGCAGCUCACUAAACAGAUAUUGACGCUGAGGCACGAAAGCGUGGGGAUCAAACAGG